rnacentral:rRNA from 1 species
GUGUGAAACUCAAAGGAAUUGACGGGGGCCCGCACAAGCGGUGGAGUAUGUGGUUUAAUUCGACGCAACGCGAAGAACCUUACCAGGUCUUGACAUCCCCUGCAAAGCUAUGGAGACAUAGUGGAGGUUAUCAGGGAGACAGGUGGUGCAUGGUUGUCGUCAGCUUGUGUCGUGAGAUGUUGGGUUAAGUCCCGCAACGAGCGCAACCCUUGUCUUUAGUUACUAACAUUCAGUUGAGGACUCUAGAGAGACUGCCGGUGACAAACCGGAGGAAGGUGGGGAUGACGUCAAAUCAUCAUGCCCCUUAUGACCUGGGCUACACACGUACUACAAUGGCGGAUACAACGAGAAGCAAGACAGUGAUGUGGAGCAAAACUCAGAAAGUCCGUCUCAGUUCGGAUUGAAGUCUGCAACCCGACCUCAUGAAGCCGGAAUCGCUAGUAAUCGCGGAUCAGCAUGCCGCGGUGAAUACGUUCUCGGGCCUUGUACACACCGCCCGC